rnacentral:misc_RNA from 1 species
UACGUAGGUGGCAAGCGUUGUUCGGAAUUAUUGGGCGUAAAGCGCGCGCAGGCGGCUUCUUAAGUCUGAUGUGAAAGCCCCCGGCUCAACCGGGGAGUGGCAUUGGAAACUGGGAGGCUUGAGUAUAGGAGAGAAGAGUAGAAUUCCAAGUGUAGCGGUGAAAUGCGUAGAGAUCUGGAGGAACACCAGUGGCGAAGGCGACUCUGUGGCCUAUAACUGACGCUGAGGCGCGAAAGCGUGGGGAGCAAACAGG